rnacentral:rRNA from 1 species
CGGAUCGGAGUCUGNAACCCGACUCCGUGAAGCUGGAUUCGCUAGUAAUCGCGCAUCAGCCAUGGCGCGGUGAAUACGUUCCCGGGCCUUGUACACACCGCCCGUCAAGCCAUGGGAGCCGGGGGUGCUUGAAGUGCGUCGUCGCGAGGCGCGCCCUAGAGCAAAACCGGUGACUGGGGCUAAGUCGUAACAAGGUACC